UGACUUUGCACGCUGAGUUGUGUCACUGUGCGCUGUGGAUGGCAAAGCUGGAUGCACUGGCAGCGCUGGCAGCGGACCUGCUCCUCAGUGGCCGGUGGUGGUGUCCUUGCAGUGUGAUGACUGUCUGCGCCGUCGCAACAAUCAGCAGCGUGACGACGGUGGCGACACUCCGGAGAGAAAUCUUUSCCAUGAUGGUGGUGGCCCCUCCACCUCUGUGCAGACAUGCCGUCAGGUGCGGCGUCCCAGGGCAGUGGGGAAACACCUUGUUCUGCAAUCCCACUGCCCAGCGUCCACACACCUCAGCUAGCCCUGGACUGCGGUUCAUGCCCCAGAGCUGCUCAUGCCACCAGACUGGGAUCGCCCUGGCUGGCCCCAGCAGAAGACCCCCGUUGCAGGCCACUCCCGGUGGUGCGGUGGCUGGGCGCAAGAAAGGUCUGAACAGUCGUUGGCACAGGGGGAAGGUGAGCUGUCCUCUUGGACUGGUGUGGAGAGUGUCACGGGGAUGGCUGAGCGCCAGCAGGGAGCUGAGUGAUGGAGAAUGCAGUGGUGGCCCGCUGGUCCUCCCUCUCUACCCCACCUCCAGACUGUGUGAGAACCGAGGAUAAUAAACAGCAUCGAACUCAACUCAUCGAACUGUGCUCCUGAAAUGGAUCAUCGCAUGAAUUUCACGGUAAGACCCUAGCUUAUAAACACUUUUUUUUUUUUUUUAAAUUCCAGUCAGUAUUCCAAGUAUUCUUCGAAUGUCACAAGUGAAGAGCUGGAUUAUUCACAAAGUGUCCGGUGUUAAAACCUAUUUACAUGCAAAAGUUGCGCCAGCUUACCCUGAGGUUACAUCAGUGCAAACCCCUUCUGUGAGGACUCUUCUAAACUAAUGAGAAUGACCUCCCAUAAUUUCUUUAAUUAAAGAACAACAACAACCUAAAUCAAGAUAAAACAUGCUUCAUAUUAAAUAAGGCUGGCCAAGCAAAUGGGUUUGCGUUGCUUAAAAUACUGACUGCGCUUUCUACACUGACUGAAUUACACUUGUCCUUUGGACACAGACCAAAUCUCAGAUCCUGACUCUGAGCGUCGGAGCUGGUCGAGCUGCUGCUGGGGCAGGGAGCAGUGCGUAGUGCUGGGGCUUGCACCUGCCCAGCCAAAGUCCACAGCAAUUUGGUCUUUGUCUUCAAGGUGGCCAAGGUCCCUCCCCAAAGUAUACAUUUGGCUUCAAAUCAUGUUUCAGUAUCUCACGGACUCAUUCGUGUUAAGACGCUGGAUCAAGAGAAAGCUUCUUUUCAUGAAAGUUACUUUUCUCCCAGUGUUUAUCAGAAAAGAAUAAAACUGCAUCAUACAAGAACA
rnacentral:lncRNA from 1 species